AUUGAACGCUGGCGGCAUGCUUUACACAUGCAAGUCGAGCGGCAGCGCGGGGGCAACCCUGGCGGCGAGCGGCGAACGGGUGAGUAAUGCAUCGGAACGUACCCUGGAGUGGGGGAUAACGCCGCGAAAGCGGCGCUAAUACCGCAUAUGCUCUGAGGAGGAAAGUGGGGGACCGCAAGGCCUCACGCUCUGGGAGCGGCCGAUGUCCGAUUAGCUAGUUGGUGGGGUAAAGGCUUACCAAGGCGACGAUCGGUAGCUGGUCUGAGAGGACGACCAGCCACACUGGAACUGAGACACGGUCCAGACUCCUACGGGAGGCAGCAGUGGGGAAUUUUGGACAAUGGGCGUAAGCCUGAUCCAGCCAUUCCGCGUGCAGGAUGAAGGCCUCGGUGUAACUAGCUUUGUACGGUAACGAAACGGUACGUAGCC
rnacentral:rRNA from 1 species